rnacentral:rRNA from 1 species
GAUGAACGCUAGCUACAGGCUUAACACAUGCAAGUCGAGGGGAAACGGUAGAGAAAGCUUGCUUUUUCUAGGCGUCGACCGGCGCACGGGUGAGUAACGCGUAUCCAACCUGCCCACCACUUGGGGAUAACCUUGCGAAAGUAAGACUAAUACCCAAUGACAUCUCUAGAAGACAUAUGAAGGAGAUCACAGAUUUAUCGGUGAUGGAUGGGGAUGCGUCUGAUUAGCUUGUUGGCGGGGUAACGGCCCACCAAGGCGACGAUCAGUAGGGGUUCUGAGAGGAAGGUCCCCCACAUUGGAACUGAGACACGGUCCAAACUCCUACGGGAGGCAGCAGUGAGGAAUAUUGGUCAAUGGGCGAGAGCCUGAACCAGCCAAGUAGCGUGCAGGAUGACGGCCCUAUGGGUUGUAAACUGCUUUUAUAAGGGAAUAAAGUGAGCCUCGUGAGGCUUUUUGCAUGUACCUUAUGAAUAAGGACCGGCUAAUUCCGUGCCAGCAGCCGCGGUAA